rnacentral:tRNA from 1 species
GGAUCCAUUGCUCAGUUGGUAAAGCACAAGGCUCUUAACCUUGUGGACGUAGAUUCA